rnacentral:rRNA from 1 species
ACCAUCCUCCAAGGCUAAAUACUCCUGACUGACCGAUAGUGAACCAGUACCGUGAGGGAAAGGCGAAAAGAACCCCGGCGAGGGGAGUGAAAAAGAACCUGAAACCGUGUACGUACAAGCAGUGGGAGCCCCACCACUAAGCCAGUGGUGAACUCCACAUACGCAUCCUUUGCUGAGGAUACGGUUAACGGAGCGAAAGCGACGUUCAACCGCAAAAGAAGCAGAGGGGGCUUAGUGGUGGGGUGACUGCGUACCUUUUGUAUAAUGGGUCAGCGACUUAUAUUCUGUAGCAAGGUUAACCGAAUAGGGGAGCCGGAGGGAAACCGAGUCUUAAUUGGGCGUUAAGUUGCAGGGUAUAGACCCGAAACCCGGUGAUCUAGCCAUGGGCAGGUUGAAGGUUGGGUAACACUAACUGGAGGACCGAACCGACUAAUGUUGAAAAAUUAGCGGAUGACCUGUGGCUGGGGGUGAAAGGCCAAUCAAACCGGGAGAUAGCUGGUUCUCCCCGAAAGCUAUUUAGGUAGCGCCUCGUGAAUUCAUCUCCGGGGGUAGAGCACUGUUUCGGCUAGGGGGCCAUCCCGGCUUACCAACCCGAUGCAAACUGCGAAUACCGGAGAAUGUUAUCACGGGAGACACACGGCGGGUGCUAACGUCCGUCGUGAAGAGGGAAACAACCCAGACCGCCAGCUAAGGUCCCAAAGUCAUGGUUAAGUGGGAAACGAUGUGGGAAGGCCCAGACAGCCAGGAUGUUGGCUUAGAAGCAGCCAUCAUUUAAAGAAAGCGUAAUAGCUCACUGGUCGAGUCGGCCUGCGCGGAAGAUGUAACGGGGCUAAACCAUGCACCGAAGCUGCGGCAGCGAACGUAUCACCCAAGACAACUUUACGGAGUUGACGAUUGACGGAGCGAAGCGACGUCAAAGCGUUCAUUA